UACGUAGGGUGCAAGCAUUAAUCGGAAUUAUUGGGCGUAUAGGGCGCGUAGGCGGAUAAUUUAGUCGGAUGUGAAAUCCCAGAGCUCAACUCUGGAACAGCAUCCGAAACUGGUUAUCUAGAGGGUAGAAGGAGAAAACGGAAUUCCACAAGUAGCGGUGAAAUGCGUAGAUAUGUGGAAGAACAUCUGUGGCGAAGGCGGUUUUCUAUUUUACUCCUGACGCUGAGGCGCGAAAGCAAGGGGAUCAAACAGG
rnacentral:rRNA from 1 species